CUGUACACUGACAUAUCUAUUUUCAACAUAUCCCAAUGCCUCCUGUCGCAAACAAAUAAUAAAAUAAUUUAAAAGAAUAGUUUUUGCACACACAACUUAUAAUGUAUAUCCAUUCUUAUUUUUUUAUCUUCAUAUUUGCUAUUUCUCCAGACUUAAUUAUAAGUGAUUCAGUCACCAGUACUGAAACAGAACUCUCAAGAACAGAAGGAAAGACCGUCACACUCCAGUGCAGCUACUCAACAGAUAGCAGCAAUCCUGUACUCUACUGGUACCGAAAAUAUCCAAAUCAAGCCCUGCAUUACAUCUUACUCCGGGGAGCCAAGUCAGUAAGUAGUUAUGAAGAUAAAGCAGGCUUUACAGAAGGUCGAUUUUCAUCUACAACGACACAUCAUUCAACUGAACUCCAAAUUUCUGCUCUCUCUUUGAGUGACUCUGCCAUUUAUUACUGUGCACUAAGGCCCGGAACUGGAAGUGACAUCAUCCUUGGGGCC